UACGGAGGGUGCUAGCGUUGUUCGGAAUCACUGGGCGUAAAGCGCGUGUAGGCGGCCCACUAAGUCUGAUGUGAAAGCCCGGGGCUCACCCCCGGAAGUGCAUUGGAAACUGGUGGACUCGAGUCCCGGAGAGGAGGGUGGAAUUCCUGGUGUAGCGGUGAAAUGCGUAGAUAUCAGGAGGAACACCGGUGGCGAAGGCGGCCAUCUGGACGGAUACUGACGCUGAGACGCGAAAGCGUGGGGAGCAAACAGG
rnacentral:rRNA from 1 species